AGCAGCCGCGGUAAUUCCAGCCCCAAUAGCGUGUAUUAAAGUUGUUGCAGUUAAAAAGCUCGUAGUUGAAUUUCGGGAUCAAUACGUCGGUCGUGCUUCGGUACGUACUGGCAUCGUUGGUUUCUCCUUUCUGAAGAACCAUGAUGCCAUUUAUUUGGUGUCGUGGGGAAUCAGGACUGUUACUUUGAAAAAAUUAGAGUGUUUAAAGCAGGCUCACGCUUGAAUACAUUAGCAUGGAAUAAUGAAAUAGGACGUUUGAUUCUAUUUUGUUGGUUUCUAGGAUCGACGUAAUGAUUAAUAGGGAUAGUUGGGGGCAUUAGUAUUCAAUUGUCAGAGGUGAAAUUCUUGGAUUUAUUGAAGACUAACUACUGCGAAAGCAUUUGCCAAGGAUGUUUUCAUUAAUCAAGAACGAAAGUUAGGGGAUCGAAGACGAUCAGGUACCGUCGUAGU
rnacentral:rRNA from 1 species